GUUAGUUUAGCUCAAUUGGUAGAGCACUGGACUGGCAAUCCAGUAGAUGUGGGUUCGAGUCCUACAGCUGGCU